rnacentral:rRNA from 1 species
AUGGAUGAUGAGGGUGGGAUCACCCAAGAGGGCGAUGAGCUUGAUGAUGACAUGACUUUGGCGGACGCUCAAGCUCGGUCCGCAUAUGUGUUCAAGCCUAGGCAGCCCAGACGCCGGUACACGCCCAACGACUAUGACAACAGAGGCAACCCAAAGGUGGUCGUAGGGACCUCGCGGAUGGCUAGCUUGGAUGAUGAGGCGGAGGAGGAGGCGGAGGCGGAGGCGGAGGCGGAGGCGGAGGAGGAAGUGCACGAAGAGGAGCCUCGUGCUCCUAAGAAGAAGAAGCUUGCCUGCAGGCGUGCCACCAGGAACACGCGCGGAAGGAAUUAG